GUGGGGAAUCUUAGACAAUGGGCGCAAGCCUGAUCUAGCCAUGCCGCGUGAGUGAUGAAGGCCCUAGGGUUGUAAAGCUCUUUCAGCUGGGAAGAUAAUGACGGUACCAGCAGAAGAAGCCCCGGCUAACUCCGUGCCAGCAGCCGCGGUAAUACGGAGGGGGCUAGCGUUGUUCGGAAUUACUGGGCGUAAAGCGCGCGUAGGCGGACUGAAAAGUUGGGGGUGAAAUCCCGGGGCUCAACCUCGGAACUGCCGUCAAAACUAUCAGUCUGGAGUUCGGGAGAGGUGAGUGGAAUUCCGAGUGUAGAGGUGAAAUUCGUAGAUAUUCGGAGGAACACCAGUGGCGAAGGCGGCUCACUGGCUCGAUACUGACGCUGAGGUGCGAAAGCGUGGGGAGCAAACAGGAUUAGAAACCCGUGUAGUCC
rnacentral:rRNA from 1 species